GUAGGUGAACCUGCGGAAGGAUCAAUAUGGAGGAGAGUGAAGGGGGAUAAGUUGAAAGAGAAAGAGAACUAUUAAUCAUUUUACACACACACACACACACAACUCAUAACAAUGGAUCUCUGGGCUCUU
rnacentral:misc_RNA from 1 species